rnacentral:rRNA from 1 species
CAAGUCGAACGAAUCUCAGCUUUGUAGCAAUACCGAGCUGGGGAAAGUGGCGAAAGGGGCAGUAAUGCGUGGGUAACCUACCCUGGGGACCGGGAUAGCCUUCCUAACGGAUGGAUAAUACCGGGCGCCGUAGCCGAGGCGCAUGUUUUGGCUACGAAAUGAGUUUCGCCCCGGGAGGGGCUCACGUGCUAUUAGCUUGUUGGCGGGGUAACGGCCCACCAAGGCUAAGAUGGCUAGCGGGUGUGAGAGCACGACCCGCGCCACUGGCACUGAGACACUGGCCAGACUCCUACGGGAGGCUGCAGUCGAGGAUCUUCGGCAAUGGGCGCAAGCCUGACCGAGCGACGCCGCGUGCGCGAUGAAGGCCUUCGGGUUGUAAAGCGCUGUCGAGGGGGAGGAAGCCGCAAGGUUGACCUAUCCCUGGAGGAAGCACGGGCUAAGUUCGUGCCAGCAGCCGCGGU